rnacentral:rRNA from 1 species
CGGAACGGGUGAGUAACGCGUGAGGAACCUGCCUCAAAGAGGGGGACAACAGUUGGAAACGACUGCUAAUACCGCAUAAGCCCACGGCUCGGCAUCGAGCAGAGGGAAAAGGAGCAAUCCGCUUUGAGAUGGCCUCGCGUCCGAUUAGCUAGUUGGUGAGGUAACGGCCCACCAAGGCGACGAUCGGUAGCCGGACUGAGAGGUUGAACGGCCACAUUGGGACUGAGAUACGGCCCAG